AAAGUAAUAAUAAUAAUAAAUAAAAUAUAUUUCACAGGUAUUAAAAACUGUCUUCUAAACAGGAGUGGAAACAGAUGAGAAUAAACACUUAGAUCUACAUUUAUCACAGUCUAACUGGAAGCAGAAACACCAGCAUUGAUCUCAGACAAGCCAAUUCUUUCAGCACACCCCAAAGAAAAAUGCAGACCAUGCUUUCAGAACAGCAGGCGACACUAACAAACACUGAUGCCAGUUCUCACAAGAGACAAAGAAGAUGACAAUCAUGAGGUAAUGGCAUCAUGAGCAGGUAGGAGCCCCAAGCCCUGAAGCACUGAACGGGAAUCCAACCAACAUGCAGUGUGUCGUGCAGACCUUGAUUCCUAGACCAGCUUCUUGUUCUUGGCCACUUUCCAGGAAUUCUGAACUCUGUGACAGACAAGUAGCUAUAAAGGUAAUGUAUGAUCCUUACAGUCCUUGAAUCAUGAUAUUAAUGCCAUUUGAAUAUUUGGCAUCCCUACUGAAGAAAAUAGGAUCAGUCUGGUAAUCUGUUGGCUGCUGUAGGAUCUAAGAAGUUGUAAUCCUUAGCUUUCCUGCCAACGAAUUCCUCAUUAAGCACAAGAUAUCCUGAAACAAAUCACUAGUAAAACCUCUCCAGGUGUUAAUAUAUGUAGAGUUCUUCUAAGCAGAUAAUUCUAGCCAAAAAUUAUAUUUUUUUUCUACUCUCUUUCUGUCAUUGCGCCAAGCUGAAAUAGUCUAAAGGUUUCCAUAUAUUGCAAUGUGUGAUUUGGGUUAAAUGCUCAUAGUGAAGCACAGGGAA
rnacentral:lncRNA from 1 species